rnacentral:rRNA from 1 species
UUAGAGUUUGAUCCUGGCUCAGAACGAACGCUGGCGGCAGGCUUAACACAUGCAAGUCGAACGCCCCGCAAGGGGAGUGGCAGACGGGUGAGUAACACGUGGGAACAUGCCCAAAGGUACGGAAUAUUCUCGGGAAACUGAGAGCAAUACCGUAUGUGCCCGAAAGGGGAAAGAUUUAUCGCCUUUGGAUUGGCCCGCGUCAGAUUAGCUAGUUGGUGGGGUAAAGGCCUACCAAGGCGAUGAUCUGUAGCUGGUCUGAGAGGACGAACAGCCACACUGGGACUGAGACACGGCCCAGACUCCUACGGGAGGCAGCAGUGGGGAAUAUUGACAAUGGGGGCAACCCUGAUCCAGCGAUGCCGCGUGUGUGAAGAAGGCCUGCGGGUUGUAAAGCACUUUCAGUUGGGAAGAGAAGCGCGAUGUGAAAAAUUGUUGCGGUGGAGACGUUACUGAUAGAAAGAAGCACCGGCUAACUCUGUGCCAGCAGCCGCGGUAAUACAGAGGGUGCGAGCGUUAAUCGGAGUGACUGGGCGUAAAGGGCGCGUAGGCGGUUAUAUUAGUCUGAUGUGAAAGACCUGGGCUUAACCUGGGAUAUGCGUUGGAAACGGUAUAGCUAGAGUGUGUGAGAGGGAAGAGGAAUUUCCGGAGUAGCGGUGAAAUGCGUAGAUCUCGGAAAGAACACUAGUGGCGAAGGCGACUUUCUGGCACACAACUGACGCUGAGGCGCGAAAGCGUGGGGAGCGAACAGGAUUAGAUACCCUGGUAGUCCACGCCCUAAACGAUGGAUACUAGGCGUAAGAGGUAUCGACCCCUCUUGUGCCGCAGCUAACGCACUAAGUAUCCCGCCUGGGGAGUACGGCCGCAAGGGUUGAAACUCAAAUGAAUUGACGGGGACCCGCACAAGCGGUGGAGCAUGUGGAUUAAUUCGAUACUAACCGAAGAACCUUACCCAGGUUUGACAUCGAUCGAAAGCUCUAGAGAUAGGGCCUUCCUCCCAAAAGGAGGACGUGAAGACACCUUGAUUGCAUGSCUGUCAGUCAAGCUCGUGCCGUGGAGGCUGUUACSGWUAAGUCCGCCUAACGGAGCGCAACCCAUGUCCCGUGUUACCAGCAUGAAAGAUGGGGACUCACAGGAGACCGCCGGUGUAAGCCGGAGGAAGGUGUGGAUGACGUCAAGUCAGCAUGGCAGUUACGCCUGGGGCUUCACACAUGCUACAAUGGGCGAAACAAAGGGCAGCAAUACCGCGAGGUGGAGCAAAUCCCAAAAAUACGCCCCCAGUUCAGAUUGCAGUCUGCAACUCGACUGCAUGAAGGCGGAAUCGCUAGUAAACGCAGGUCAGCUAUACUGCGUUGAAUACGUUCCCGGGUCUUGUACACACCGCCCGUCAAGUCACCUGAAUUGUCUUCACCCGAAGUCCGUGGCCUAACCCGCAAGGGAAGGAGCGGCCGAAGGUGAGGGGGGUAAGGGGGACUAAGUCGUAACAAGGUAACC